GACAAACGCUGGCGGCGUGCAUAAAACAUGCAAGUCGAACGGACCAAAGCCCGCAAGGGCCGAGGUCAGUGGCGGACGGCUGAGUAACACGUAGGUGACCUGCCCUGAAGUGGGGGAUAACUCGUCGAAAGACGAGCUAAUACCGCAUGUGAUCACCGGUUCGUUUCGGUGCUCAAAGUCGCAAGACGCUUUAGGAGGGGCCUGCGGCCGAUUAGCUAGUUGGUGGGGUAAUGGCCUACCAAGGCUGCGAUCGGUAGUUGGUCUGAGAGGAUGACCAGCCAGACUGGGACUGAGACACGGGCCCAGACUCCUACGGGAGGCAGCAGUUAGGAAUUUUUGUGCAAUGGGGGAAACCCU
rnacentral:rRNA from 1 species